GACGAACGCUGGCGGCGUGCUUAACACAUGCAAGUCGAACGAAGUGGCGGACGGGUGAGUAACGCGUAAUCAACCUGCCCUUCAACGGGGGACAACAGUUGGAAACGACUGCAAAUACCGCUUACUGAAGGAGGGGAUUGCGUGUGAUUUGCUAGUGGGAGGGGCAACGGCCAACCAAGGUGAGGAUCAGUCGCCGGUCUGAGGGGGUGAACGGCCAAAUUUGGACUGGUGCACGGGCCAAGAUCCUUCGGGGUGCAGCAGGGGGGAAUCUUCCGAAAUGGACGAAAGUCUGACGGAGCAACGCCGCGUGAUUGAUGACGGGCUUCGGGUUUGAAAGCUCUGUUAAUCGGGACGCGGUACCGGAAUAGAAAGCCACGGCUAACUACGUGCCAGCAGCCGCGGUAAUAC
rnacentral:rRNA from 1 species